AUGCAGAUUACCUGGGGAUCUUCUUAAAAUGCAGAUUCUGAUUCAGUAGGUCAGGGGUAGGACCUGAGAGUCUGCCUUUCUAACAAGCUCCCAGUGGAUACCAAU
rnacentral:pre_miRNA from 1 species